GGAAGGACAGAGCGGCUGAAAGAUGAUUGGAAAGCCAAACGCCGCAGCGACUCCCCACGGCGGCAAAGAGCAGUGGGGCACCUCCCCUCCCCUAAGAAAGUAGGAGAGCCGGCUUGAGGCAAAAUAUGGAGGAGGCACCGUUGUUCUACUUCCGCCGUCUUUAUCAAAGAAACUUCCGGUGGCGGGACGUUUUGCGACCCCAAAAUGGCAUCGCAAACUAGUCUUCGAAAUCCAGAGACUUCUCCUCGGUGUAGGGGCCUACGUGACUUAAACCUGAAAUCUCCAGCACAUGCCAAGCCCUUGUUCUGAGCUGAAUGGGAGGGACGCGGAUGGAUGACACGCUACCUAGUUUUCGUUCAGACCGCCACUAAAUGACAUUACUCGAGUCUAAGGAAUCUUAAACUUUAGGGUCCCUCACUUCUGGAAUGUUCCAGGUUGAGGAUGGGAAGCCAGCAUGCCAUCGGAAAGCGACUCUGUACAAUAAGAAUUUCUGAUAAACUGAGGGAAUCUCAGGAGUGGAAUCUGGACCUCCGAGACUCUAGUAACUUGUGACUUUUCUUGUUAAUAUUUAUUUUGUGUCUUCUCUUUAAGGGUAUAGUGUAUAAUCUUCCAACCCCCCAAACCCUGAAUCCAAAACUGCUCAUAAGGAUAACCGGAAAAAGUAAAAGGGAUCCCAGUACAAGGUGGCAAGUGUUAUGCACAAAGCGAUGGAGACUAGGACUUUGCAGAAAAGUAAAAUCUGCUCUCAAGUUGU